ACAGGCUUCAAGACACUGGGCACGGCAAACAGUCUCCGCAGUCCUGUUCUGUACGGGGACGGACAGGUGAGGGCCCAGGUGGAGCAGGCCUCUGGAGAGGCACUGGUGUGAUGUGGUGGUGAUGAGGCCCUGCUUCAGCUUUCCCCAACCAGACAUUCUCAGCACUCAGAGGUAAGGCUGAGCCUGGCCCAAAGGAACUGUACAGACAGUCCUCCCCUCUUCCCACCCUAUGCUCAUUUGAACACCAAUGUGGAUCACUGGAGCUUUUCUCCGCUGCCUGGGAUGACAAUACAAACUGAACUGCAGAGGACCAGGUGAUGGAUUCUACUCUCAGGCACUCUCCUGGGGGCCA